UACGGGGGGGGGCAAGCGUUUGUUCGGAAUUACUGGGCGUAAAGCGUGCGCAGGCGGUUUUGUAAGUCAGAUGUGAAAUCCCCGGGCUCAACCUGGGAACUGCGUUUGAAACUACAAGGCUAGAGUGUAGCAGAGGGGGGUAGAAUUCCACGUGUAGCAGUGAAAUGCGUAGAGAUGUGGAGGAAUACCGAUGGCGAAGGCAGCCUCCUGGGCCAACACUGACGCUCAUGCACGAAAGCGUGGGGAGCAAACAGG
rnacentral:rRNA from 1 species